UACGGAGGGUGCGAGCGUUGUCCGGAUUUAUUGGGUUUAAAGGGUGCGUAGGUGGCUGUUUAAGUCAGUGGUGAAAUACAGCCGCUCAACGGUUGAGGUGCCAUUGAUACUGAACAGCUUGAAAUAAUUGGAGGCUGCCGGAAUGGAUGGUGUAGCGGUGAAAUGCAUAGAUAUCAUCCAGAACACCGAUUGCGAAGGCAGGUGGCUACGAUUUAUUUGACACUGAGGCACGAAAGCAUGGGGAGCAAACAGGAUUAGAAACCCCCGUAGUCC
rnacentral:rRNA from 1 species